AUUAAUUAGAGAGAGAGAAUAGAAUGAAUAUAUAGAAAUUCAUACUUAUCUUUGAUUUGAAUCUGCAAUUCAUCUAAUACCCGUAUCAACACUUCGUCGCAAGUUACGUCCCUUAGCAAGGUCAGCCAAAGGUCAAUCGGUGAAAAACCAAGUUUUCCUUCUUUACCUUACCAAAUGUAAGACGUUAUUACUUUGAAUUUUAGCCAAUUACCAAGUUUUCAAACAAGUUAAUGGGUUGCCCUAAUCUGGGGCAUUAUUCUAGCUGACUGCAAUUGAUGGAAAAAUAACAGAUGUCAAUGCUAUAGAAAGGAAAAUUACAAAGGCCAACGUAGGGAAAUAGGAUUUUUAUCCGGGAGAUGGCGGACGAGGGACCUAACUUGCCUGAAGUGUUGAUACGUGUAUACUCAUGAAUAUGCACACCAGUUUAACGGGGGAAAAACUAGACGCAAAUAGGAAACAAAAUAAAUGCGAUAGGAAGAAAUACAAUUUCUCUGAAGAAAACGGAAGACAAACGGUCUGUGAGUAUAAUAAAUAAAUAUAAAACUUUCAGGAGACCGAUAUUACAAAAUAAUGGGUAAACCUUGUUAUUUUGUACAGGUUUUACAAAGUACUUCGGUGUUUUCUUUCUCCUAUAUUAGAUUACUUUAAACUGUCCAUUUCAUAUAGCUUUUUCGUUUUAUUUCGUCAUUUGUCGAUAGCAGACGUACAAAAAUAUUGAUACCAAUGUAAUGUCAUCACCAAGACCGAAAGAAUAAAUAUGCUUCGCGCACCUAGGGAUUCGAAAUCUAAGAGACCGUAUUACAGGACAGGAGAAGCUGAUUCAGUAGCCAAAUCAAGAGAUGUGGUACGGGUAACGGUAAAGACGGCGACUAGUACAAGACUGUAUAUUGCAUAUACAACGUGCACGCCAGAACAGGAAAUAACUUUUCUGGUUUCCGCCAUUAUAUCUGCCGACGAAUAUUAAAUUAUUUCUACGUAGAUAUGAGGCUAGAAAGCCUGUGUGAUUGCCGAGAUUUUACACACUGGAUAAAAACACACACCACGUGUGUUUUCUUCCACUCUUUAACAGUAAACAGUAUACAGUUAUUGACUGGAUCCGAGGAUUCAGCUGUUUUGUUUGACCCAAGAACGGAUCGAUUGCCCGAAGCCAGAGGCUAAAAAAACCCCAGCUGUUGUCCUAGGACACAGUUUAUAACUAUUUUGUUAAACACCUACGUUUUUAAGGUUGUUUCUACUAGACGUAAAUGGUCUGCCAUGGUUUGUUUACUUUGAACUUUUAACAAGACAAUGUAAUUGCGUACGUUUAUCAACGUAUCCACUAGUUUAAAAGAAAAUAUACCCAAUAUUCUACAGAAUUGAUAAUCAAUAAUUCAAUUUUUCCUGAUUCUGCUCUGUAUUGAAUGAGAAAAAUCUGUAUAUCAUAAGGUGUCAAUCAAAUAAUUGAACCUCGCCAUUACGUAUAUAAGCAAAGCAGCAGACCGAAAACCACGUGACUUGGGUAUCCAAUGGAAAUGGAGCAGACUAUUGCCCGGUCAACAGUUAUCGGUCAAUAGACCACGAGUGUGAAAGUUAGUUCAACAGUUUAAAUGUUGGUUCUAAAUCGUAUUAGUUUAAUAUAGGAAAAAAUCAAGGUGUUUAACAAAUUAUACUAUGCCUUUUCUAUUUUGUAAUGGCUAAAUUUUGUUUCUGGAACAAUGAAAUCAGAAAUAGCAGUUACAUAUGACCAUGUUGUGUACGAUUCAACGAGUGUUCAAGUUAAGUUCAAGCCAGAAUGAGAGAUCGAAGCUACCAUAUCAAUGUAAGUAUCUAGACACGACUUUUUCUGAGGUCGAGUAAAAAAUAUCACAUCAAUUUUAAUCAAGUUAUAUUAUAAUUACUGACCAUGCAAAUCGAAUUUAAGAAUCACUGCAUGGGUGUCAUCACAGACAGGUCAACAUGAAUAUUAAAAAUAUUGAGAAAUUAAUUAUCUCAACUCUUUCAGAUUUCACUUGGUGUCAACCACACAAUAUUUAAUCGUCUUUGUGACUGUGUGAAUAGCCAGGAUAAAUGCCACCACAAGGUUUCACUUUUGUUUUAUAGGUAAACAUAUUUUUCUUGGAUGUAAUUUUUCCUCAUUUAAAAAAUGAUCUUUUCUGAAUUAAACAUUGUGACAGUCAAUAUUCAUUUUUAUUCCCAACGAAGUAUUUGUAGCGGCAUAAUGUCAACGUUACGAAUGUAGUUCGGGUUUAGGUAAACAAAACAGGAUAUUUUGGAAAUGCGAAUUCAAUGGUCUGUUGGGAUAAAAUAUGUGAUAAAAAGACCUCCCAUGGUUUGUGGCUGGAUAUGAUUAUUAUCCAAUUUGUUGUGUGUUUUCUAUUCCCUAGCUAAGCCUCGGGGAUAGAAAACAGACAACUCCUUGAGUGAUAAUUAUACCUAACCACCAACCAUAAGAUAAUCUAUAUAUGUUUCUGAACCCUUUGCACAUACACCUAACUGUUCUUGAAAAAUCUUGAAUAUUUAACUUGGCAUUUUACAUGUAUAGAUAGUAUUGACAGAGAAUGUAAUGACAAUGAAUAGAUCUAUUUUUGUUAUCUAUGUUAAGGUAUCAAUAUGUAAGCAAGACCGAUAUCAGGACAUCAUGGGUACUGCAUCCAAAAAGUGCACUGUUAAAAACAUCUAAACUGAUGGAGGAGCUAUUUCCAGCUCCACCUAAGUAGUAGAGAUAGCAAUCGAUCAGAAAAAUAAUCCCUUGUGGGGUAUGGUAAGAAAACAUUAGACUAACAACAUCACAUCUUGAUUCAGUGCUUGUAGGAUUGGGAUGGAACAGGUAUAUCCAUCGUUGUUUAAGCAACUCAUGGCCUCAUACAAUUUCUCAAAAAGAAAGGCCAUUAUUUGCAGUAGAAACAAUGAAUGUGUUGCAAAAGAAAAGUACUGUUCCUAUGGGGAUGCUGUAGUUUCAGAAACAGACAGAACUCUUUAUUUCAACUUUCUUUUAUGUGUUGUUGUAUAUGUUACCAAAAUGUCAUGUUAAUUCCUAUUAUGUCACAUGUGUUUAGCUUUUUAUAAUGAUCACUUUGUUCAGGUAGUCACAUGUAAGCAACCUAUGUUGUCAAACGUUCUGUUUUUAUUUGAUUUGCUAUCGUACACCCUGUAGUUUGUAAAAAGACCUCUUGCUAUAAUCUACUACAUAUAUAUCUAUAUUAAAGAUGUUUGAAUUCGGAGUUGAAUGACGAUAGAAGGAAAUAAAAACAGUUAUAAAUAAUAUAGAUAUAUGUGCAUUGUUUGCUUUUUUAUUCAGAAAAAGUUUUAAUCAAAUUUAUAAAUGAUUAUUCUUACGUUCCGUAGACUUGAGGUCCACUUUUUAUUUUUAUGUUCAUCUAGUAUGAACCAUGUUGUGUUAAAGACACUAACUUCUGUGAUCAUUGUUAUUGCGAUCAGUUUUAAUAUAUCUAUUGUUAUAAUUGUAGAUUGUAUUUAGGUAUGUAUUUAGAAUAUGUAUGUAUAAAGGUAUGUAUUUAACUAUUUCAAUGAUUGCUUAUAUUGUGUUGACACCACGGACAAAUAAAUCGUAAGCAAAACAAAAA